GAGUUCGAGUCUCCUAACCUCCACUGACCGAACUUAAUCUCCAUCUUCUGAAUAGUGGAAGGUGAACUCGAAGGUGUGUGUGAUUUAGAUGUGUCCGCUGACAUGAACUCAGCUUCCUGUCAUUCUAAGUGAAGAGUAUUGCUCUGAAUUUAGUUGAUAAGAUGCUGGGCUCGAACUGAGCAAUCAGUUGGAUGUCUAGCA
rnacentral:misc_RNA from 1 species